rnacentral:misc_RNA from 1 species
ACAGUGCCUGGUCCAGCAUGCAUGGAAAGAACUAUUUGUACUGGUUUGGACGCAAGCCCAGAUUGGCGAUAGCAGAUCCAGGCAUGAUCAAGGAGGUUCUGAUGAAUACAGGUGGGCCAUACGAGAGGCUCUUAAACGACCCGUUGUCUAAACAGCUCUUGGGAGAGGGACUCGCUGAGCUUAGGGGUGAGAAAUGGGCAGUUCAUAGGAGGAUCAGCAACCUGGCCCUUAACAUGGAGCAAGUUAAGGGUUGGGUGCCAAAAUUGGUGGCAAGUACAAUGAAGAUGUUCGAAAAAUGGGAGGAAAGAAGGGCAGGGAAGGAAGAAUUUGAGAUGGA